CAAAAGAAAAAACAUUACAAAACUAAGGAAAGAAAAGGAAAAAAAAAUCUCAUUGCGUUCAAUACCAUACUCCUUCCUUCCAAAGCACAACCACGCUCGAAACAACGAAAAAUCUUUCUAUUCUCUCUCCGUUUCACCGCCUCAUCGAUUCUCUUCCCCCCCCUCUCUCUCUCUAUCUUUAUCUCUCCGCCAUUGCCAAUGCCGACGCCUCCUUAUCGCCCUCCUCAACCGCCGCAACAUUCGCUACUUCUCUAACCGCUUCCGCCGAACAUUCCUCACUGGAGAUCCCCGCGGCGGUUCCCUGAUAAUUUCUAGGGUUUUCUAUUCGUUCAGUGCGCUGUCGUUUGAUUCCUGUUUAAUCGCUCUGGCAUCUCCGCCGCCAUCAUGCCUCCGUCACGCCGACGUGGAGCGAACAAAGCCAAGGCCAAUGCGCACUUGACUCUCGGCGAUCUCGUUCUAGCUAAGGUCAAGGGAUUCCCUGCUUGGCCUGCUAAAAUAAGCAGGCCUGAAGAUUGGGAAAAAACCCCUGAUUCAAAGAAAUUUUUUGUUCAAUUUUAUGGGACCGAAGAAAUAGCUUUUGUUGCCCCUGUGGAUAUUCAGGCAUUCACCAAUGAGGUCAAAGCUAAGUUAACUGCUCGGUGUCAAGGUAAAACGAAGUGCUUUACCCGAGCGGUAAAGGAAAUCUGUGCAGCAUUUGAGGAAUUAGAGAAACAGAAAGCUGGUGGUAUGACAGAUGACACUGAUGAUUCCCAUUUUGGUUCAGAGGCCCCUUCUUUUGAUGGGGCAGCGAGCAGCAUAAAGGAUGCUACUGAUGUUGUGGUAUUAAAUGCAGAAAAGGCUAAGACUAUUAUGGAAGAUGUUGGCUCAAAUUUGGAUCACUAUGCCCAAAUAUGUGGAGAAAGUGAUGGGCAAGAUGAAAAACUGUCUGCAUCUGGCCGUCCAACUGACAGUUCAUCUCCAGUUUUGUCACCUGUGUUGGAAAGUAAAUCAUCCAUUGGUACAGAACUAACCAAGCACAGCAAUAAAUCUGGUCUUCAGGAUCAAUCAUGUCUAAAAAAGGAAGUUUCUGAUUUUGAGGAUGUAUACAAUGUUAAUGACUUCAAAGAAGUUGAUAUUGUACAGAAUGUUCCUACCAAUGGGAAUAAGGCAAGAAAGCUUGUUAAUGGUUCAAGGAGGAGAAGCGAAGCUGAAGCUGAUAAAGAAAUAAGAGGAUUUAAUAUAGCAGUAUCAAAGGGUAAAAUUUCUGCAGGUUAUGCUAAUCUUUCCAGGUCUAGAGAGACCGUGAAAGGUGGGAAAAAUGCAUGUUUUGUUGAUUCUGCAGAUGCUCUUAAAUCAGACUCUGAUUUGAACAGUGGAAAUAAAUAUAAGAACUUGCUGAAAGCUAAAACAAGUCUUGAGGUAAAAAAUGAGUCACAAGAGAUUUUUGUUGAUUCUAAGGAGGCUGCUAGAAAUAAUUCUUUUAAGAGAAACAAGACCCAAGUUCAAGGAAAGCGUACUUUGGGAACGAAUGAAACAUUACAUGCUACCAAGAAGUUCAAGUGUAUGGAUGCCAAAGACAACAAAACUUUAAAAUCUCUCCCUGAAGAUACGAAGAGUGCUUCGCCCGACUUUCCUGUUGUUGCUACCAAGAAGUUCAAGUGUAUGGAUGCCAAAGACAACAAAACUUUAAAAUCUCUCCCUGAAGAUACGAAGAGUGCUUCGCCCGACUUUCCUGUUGUUGCUACCAAGAAGUUCAAGUGUAUGGAUGCCAAAGACAACAAAACUUUAAAAUCUCUCCCUGAAGAUACGAAGAGUGCUUCGCCCGACUUUCCUGUUGUUGCUACCAAGAAGUUCAAGUGUAUGGAUGCCAAAGACAACAAAACUUUAAAAUCUCUCCCUGAAGAUACGAAGAGUGCUUCGCCCGACUUUCCUGUUGUUGCUACCAAGAAGUUCAAGUGUAUGGAUGCCAAAGACAACAAAACUUUAAAAUCUCUCCCUGAAGAUACGAAGAGUGCUUCGCCCGACUUUCCUGUUGUUGCUACCAAGAAGUUCAAGUGUAUGGAUGCCAAAGACAACAAAACUUUAAAAUCUCUCCCUGAAGAUACGAAGAGUGCUUCGCCCGACUUUCCUGUUGUUGCUACCAAGAAGUUCAAGUGUAUGGAUGCCAAAGACAACAAAACUUUAAAAUCUCUCCCUGAAGAUACGAAGAGUGCUUCGCCCGACUUUCCUGUUGUUGCUACCAAGAAGUUCAAGUGUAUGGAUGCCAAAGACAACAAAACUUUAAAAUCUCUCCCUGAAGAUACGAAGAGUGCUUCGCCCGACUUUCCUGUUGUUGCUACCAAGAAGUUCAAGUGUAUGGAUGCCAAAGACAACAAAACUUUAAAAUCUCUCCCUGAAGAUACGAAGAGUGCUUCGCCCGACUUUCCUGUUGUUGAUGACAAGGUAUUCAAAAAAACAGAGUUGAAAAGGUCUGUAUCAUGUUUGAAAACCAACAAAGGGUUGUCAUUUAGGGCUCAGACAACUAUUGUAGAUUCCAAUGAUUCUGUUUGUGAAGUGCUGGCUGGUACAAAACAUCGUAGCCAAGUACAGCAAGCUAAGCCUCAUUCUGUUAGUCUUUCUUCUGAUGAACAUGCAGAAAUGAGUUCUCUUAGCCUGAAAGGUGAUGUAGACAAUCUUGCAGUUAACCAAGUACGAAGGAGACGCAGAGCUGUUUGCCUUUCUGAUGAUGAUGAACCCAAGACUCCUGUUCAUGGAGGAGCUGCUAAAAAUAUUAAAUCACCAUCUCUUGUUUCGGAGGUUGUGAAGAGCAAUGAUGCAUUCUUGGGGAAUGGUGAUGUUUCUCAGCUAGCUAACAGAAAACCUAGUGUACUUGAGGAUAGCCAUUUGAAAGGACCCUUAACUAAAUUAUGUAAUGACUCUUUGUCUACAAAGCAUCCUCAAAAAGAGAAUGCUGAUGAUGAAGUUGUUGCUGUCCAUUUACCUCACAGUCCCGAGAAAUUAGAUUCAAAGUGUUUUCCUUCAAACAUGGAAAAUAUAAGCUCCAUUUCUCCAGUGAAUUCUCCACGGUCUCUACCUACAACAAAGUCAAAUGCUGAGCGACAUAAAUCUUCCAAAACUUUGCCUAAAGUUUUCAGUAAUGCUACUCCAAAGAAGGCUGAUAAUGGGCCUUCAAAAAGUUUAACUAGCAUCAGCAGUUUGCAGAGUCAAGGUAUAACUCAUAAAAAAAAGCUUGUAUCUUCCGUGGAAAGGUCUAAAACUACCCCCAAGACAUUACCACAGUCAAUUGAAGUACAUGCUACGACAGAAAGUUUAAAGGAACUUGAUGCUAUUCAUGCUGAUAGAUUAGAGUGUGGCACAGAAGAAAAAAGUAGCCUAUAUGCUGGUUCUAGGACUCCAGAAACUUCCAAGACUAUGAAGCAUCUUAUUGCAGUUGCCCAGGCAAAAAGGAGGCUAGUAGCUCAAUUUCAGUGUCAUCCUUUUGAUCUUCAUAAUGCUCAAGUGGGAACACCAAGCCCGUCUAUAGUGAAGCCAUUUCUGUCUGUCUCUAGCAAUUAUGGCCAGGCAAAUAUGCAGGGAGUUUAUGAGCAGCAAACAUUAGCUUCUCCAUCAACCAAUGGGCAUCACUCCACUCCUCAAAAUCAACUUGAUGCUGAAGAAAAUGAGGAGAAAAGAGUUGGUUCAGGGCAAAGGGCUGUUGGGGGAUCUCUGAGUGGUGGUACCGAGUCUGCUAUUGCUCGUGACGCCUUUGAAGGAAUGAUUGAGACUUUGUCAAGGACCAAGGAAAGUAUUGGGCGUGCAACACGUCUUGCCAUUGAUUGUGCCAAGUAUGGCAUUGCCAAUGAGGUUGUUGAACUUCUCAUCCGAAAGCUAGAAAAUGAAACUAGUUUUCAUCGUAAAGUGGAUUUGUUCUUUCUUGUUGAUUCCAUAACCCAGUGCUCACAUAAUCAAAAAGGUAUUGCAGGUGCUUCCUACAUCCCUACCAUUCAAGGAGGGUUGGCACGUCUUCUUGGUGCUGCUGCUCCCCCUGGGACUAGUGCUCGUGAAAAUCGUCGCCAAUGUCUCAAGGUUUUAAGGUUGUGGCUUGAGAGGAAAAUUUUUCCUGAAUCAGUUCUUCGCCGUUACUUGAAUGAUAUCGGAGGUUCGAGUGAUGAUAUGACAGUUAGCUUUUCUUUCCGGCGUCCUUGUCGAGCUGAACGAUCUAUAGAUGACCCAAUUAGAGAAUUGGAGGGCAUGCUUGUUGAUGAGUAUGGAAGUAAUGCUUCAUUUCAGCUGCCUGGAUUUUUAUCCUCGCACGUGUUUGAAGAAGAUGAGGACAAUGAUUUUCUUAAUAAUGUCACUCCAGAAGAUCCUACUCGGACGCUUGUGGAUUCAGAGACUUCUACGGUUACCCAAAGUGACAAGCGCCACCGUAUCUUGGAAGAUGUGGAUGGUGAGCUGGAAAUGGAGGAUGUUUCAGGUCAUUCAAAGGAUGAAAUGCCUGUAUUAUUGAACAGUUCCUUGGAAAUUGAUUUUCAACUUCAGGGCUCAGAGAUGAUAUUGGAUCCAGAAUCAAACGUUUCUGGAGAGGUACAUGUUAUUCUCGAGGGUUCUCCUCCAUUGCCACUGGAUUCACCCCCUCCUCUCCCACCUUUGCCUUCAUCACCACCACCACCUCCAUUAUCUGCAUCUCCUCUCCCACCCCUGCCACCCACAUUGCAAGAUCCCCCACCUCCACCUAUGCCACCCCCUGGUCCUCUGCCAUUGUUGAUUCCCCAGUCAUCGCACCAGUCAUCGACCCUAUCAGGGUAUCAACAGCUUCAUAACUGCAGUGGCACAACUAGUGGCAUCCAAAUAGUGCAAAUGGCUGGAAAUUCUUUUCCUGGAGGUCAAAAUAGUUCAAUUGUGAAGAAUGAAGUUUUGCCACAACCAUCUGCUUGCUUUCCUCCAAUGGCUGGCUGCAGCUCUCAGGAACCUUCUGCCUUAAACCCUACAAGGCAGUUAGAAUAUGGACAGAAUGAUGUGUAUCUAAAUUCUCAAGUUCCUCUACCUAAUCAGCAAUUUCAGCUGGGUAAUCCUCACUUUGCUCCAAGACACAUGAAUCCUACCCCACCCCAAAAUCCAUCUAAUCAGUAUUCAUAUCCGAAGCCUUCAGUUCAGCAGCAUCUUCCACAUUCUUUCUAUCCGUCGUACUCAUUGACAUCCGUUCCAGAUGGCCAGAGGCAAUUUGUUGCUAAUGAGCAAUGGAGGAUGCCAACAAGUGAAUUUAAAAUAAACAAUCAACAUGGUUUAUGGAGAGGCAUAAAUCCUUCAUGUCCUGGUCCACCCUUUGGGCAGGAAGAUUAUUUCCGGCCAUCACUUGAAAGACCACCUAUAAGCAAUGUAGGUUUUCAGCAUGUGAACCCCGGCAGUGUACCUGUUCCUCCUUCAAAGUCAGGAUAUGGUAUUCCUCAGAUGUUUCCCUGUAGACCAGACAUUCCUGCAGUUAAUUGUUGGAGGCCUACAUGAUGUUGAUUGAAUUGUUUUCCAAUUCAUCUGCAAUAUCGUGCUGUUGCUGGUGGAUCAACAAACAAGGUUACUAAGUGUGGCCCGAAGUUAAUUAACUUUUGUAGUACGUAUAACUACCCCUGAAGAAAAUUUUGAAAACUUGUGGAGGCUUUUAGCAGGACUUUGUACAUUGCAAUUUUUCCUGACAAUGUAUCCCGGGAACAUUUGCUUCCAAAUUUAGGUCCUAGUUUUGCCUUUUUUUUUGAGUUCAGAGUAAUACGGUCGUUGUGAAAAGGCCAUGCGUCAAACUCCCGCUGUGUGUUUCAUCCGAUGUUCUCUGAGAAGUCAGCUGAUGUGGCAUACUCCGAUUUUCAAUUAGUGAAAAACAUACUGAAUUUGUGAGUAACAGUCAAAAUAUUCUAUCAAAUGCUGUUGCUGAAUAUUCUGUCAAACUCUGAAUAUAUGGAGUAUCUUAAGCUCAAAGCAACACAAACAGGCCUCAGGUUUAGACAUUGUAGCUCACUCUGGUAAUUCUACUAUUUGUCUCAUUCCUCAAUUUUUGGAUUCUAGAUUUUGACAGUAGUGCUUCUAAUCAUAGUUUUCACUUCCUCUCUUUCCUCAACAUUGUCACAACCAAGAAUCUAAUUCAAUUCAAUGUUAAAGCCAAUGGAAACUGUGAAUUGUCACAGCCAUUAACCUGGUUUUUGUGCCUUUACCUUAUCAAUUGUCAUGUAUGGAGAUUCUAGAGAAUGUACAACAUCAGCAACACGCUAAUUUAACAAUUGCAUAUUAGAGUAGAGAAGAAUUGAAUGAGAGGUAAUCUAACAAAGAUAAUGCAGAUAGAUUCAUAUUAUCUUAUACUUCAUGUAUUCUGAACUAUGAUGCAAUCUCUAGUAUUUGUAGUAGUGUCUAGACAUAUGAGAAUACAAUUCUAAUAAAGACAGUUAUCGCAGCGAGUUACAACAGAAUUCUAACCACUAUAGUACAUUCUAGAUCACUGACAAGCUACAGUAGAUACGACUACGAGUUGUAUACUCUGUAUUCUAUCAAAAAUAUUUUCCAAUUCAA